UACGGGGGGGGUAAGCGUUGUUCGGAAUUACUGGGCGUAAAGGGCUCGUAGGCGGCCAACUAAGUCAGACGUGAAAUCCCUCAGCUUAACUGGGGAACUGCGUCUGAUACUGGAUGGCUUGAAUUCGGGAGAGGGAUGCAGAAUUCCAGGUGUAGCGGUGAAAUGCGUAGAUAUCUGGAGGAACACCGGUGGCGAAGGCGGCAUCCUGGACCAACACUGACGCUGAGUGAGCGAAAGCCAGGGGAGCAAACGGG
rnacentral:rRNA from 1 species